UCAGAUUGAACGCUGGCGGCAGGCCUAACACAUGCAAGUCGAGCGGUAACAUUUCUAGCUUGCUAGAAGAUGACGAGCGGCGGACGGGUGAGUAAUACUUGGGGAUCUGCCUGAUGGCGGGGGACAACCACUGGAAACGGUGGCUAAUACCGCAUAAUGCCUACGGGCCAAAGUGUGGGACCUUCGGGCCACAUGCCAUCAGAUGAACCCAAGCGAGAUUAGCUAGUUGGUGAGGUAACGGCUCACCAAGGCGACGAUCUCUAGCUGGUCUGAGAGGAUGAUCAGCCACACUGGGACUGAGACACGGCCCAGACUCCUACGGGAGGCAGCAGUGGGGAAUAUUGGACAAUGGGCGCAAGCCUGAUCCAGCCAUGCCGCGUGUGUGAAGAAGGCCUUCGGGUUGUAAAGCACUUUCAGUGGUGAGGAAGGCCUUGUAGUUAAUAGCUGCAAGGAUUGACGUUAGCCACAGAAGAAGCACCGGCUAACUCCGUGCCAGCAGCCGCGGUAAUACGGAGGGUGCGAGCGUUAAUCGGAAUUACUGGGCGUAAAGCGCACGUAGGCGGUUUGUUAAGCAAGAUGUGAAAGCCCAGGGCUCAACCUUGGAAUAGCAUUUUGAACUGGCAAGCUAGAGUUUUGAAGAGGGUGGUAGAAUUUCCAGUGUAGCGGUGAAAUGCGUAGAU
rnacentral:rRNA from 1 species